rnacentral:rRNA from 1 species
GACGAACGCUGGCGGCGUGCCUAAUACAUGCAAGUAGAACGCACAGUUUAUACCGUAGCUUGCUACACCAUAGACUGUGAGUUGCGAACGGGUGAGUAACGCGUAGGUAACCUGCCUGGUAGCGGGGGAUAACUAUUGGAAACGAUAGCUAAUACCGCAUACUAUUGAUUAUUGCAUGAUAAUUGAUUGAAAGAUGCUAUUGCAUCACUACCAGAUGGACCUGCGUUGUAUUAGCUAGUAGGUGAGGUAACGGCUCACCUAGGCGACGAUACAUAGCCGACCUGAGAGGGUGAUCGGCCACACUGGGACUGAGACACGGCCCAGACUCCUACGGGAGGCAGCAGUAGGGAAUCGUCGGCAAUGGACGAAAGUCUGACCGAGCAACGCCGCGUGAGUGAAGAAGGUUUUCGGAUCGUAAAGCUCUGUUGUAAGAGAAGAACGGGUGUGAGAGUGGAAAGUUCACACUGUGACGGUAUCUUACCAGAAAGAGACGGCUAACUACGUG